GGAUUUCAAGCCAAAGCUGAUCAAAAAAGGCAAAGAAGGACAUGACAUAUUGGUUAACAGUACUGUUCAACAAGAAGAGAUAACAAUUAUAAACUUAUAUGCACCAAACCAUUGUGCACCCAAUUACAUAAAACAAACUCUAAUGAACGUAAAAGAUCAGAUGAACAUCAAUACAGUUAUAGUGGGGAUCGCAAUACCCCAGUAUCACAAAUAGGUCAACUAAAAGAAGCAGACAAAAAAAAUGCAAGUUGGGUGUGGUGGUGCAUGCUUGUAACCCCAGCACUUCUGCAGGCUGAGUCAGGAGGACUGCAAGUUCAAGUCCAGCCUGGACAAUUUAAAGCACGUUUUAUUCAGCAGUUUCAGAAGUGAAUCCCACUGAACCUUACUGGUUGGAGAAUUCUAUUGUUUCAAAACUUCUCUAAAGAGCAUAGAGAAGGAGAAACUCUUCUAUAUUAUUCCGGUAAUUUGUAUAUCAAUGAUAACCAGAUACAAUCACCAUAAUCUAAGGAAAUCUCAGUGAAAUAUUUUGCGCUUUCCAGGCCCCCUUUUCUCUCAGUACUGUAUAGUGAGAAGAAUUCUAGCUUUUAAACUGGCAUGGUGGUACAUGCCUGUAAUCCCAGGAUGCUGGGAGGUUGAAGCAGGAGGAUCAGAAGUUCAAGCCCUCCUUAGUUAACAACUUAGUGAGAUUCUGUCCCAAAAUAUAAAAUAAAACAGGAUGGGAAUAUAGUUCAGGGUAGAGGCUCUCAUUUCAGUCUCCAGUAACACACACACACACA
rnacentral:lncRNA from 1 species